ensembl:lncRNA
AUCUCUCUCUGGAGAUCCUUUCUUGGGGAGUUUUCUUGCAAGCCUAUAACAUCGAGGCCUCGGGAGCUUAAAGACAGAACUAACCAAAAGGGGAAAGGCGAAGAAAGCCAGUGAAGGUAAUAUCAGCGAGGCAUUCACAAAGUACGUGUCAAAGCUUAAUGUCCCUCCAGUGCAGAAAAGAAGAAAGGAAGGUUUGCUUUGGGAACCCUUGCAUGCCCAAAGGCUGCAGAGUACCUUGGGCAUCACCCGCAGCUCCUGAGGAACCCCAGGUCACAUCAGCAGCCACCAGCAAUGGACCUAGUUGCACACCCAGGGAGCACCCACGUGGGAUGGGUUUGCUGUUCCUGCAAGGAACCAGUGACAGCCUUUUCUGGCAAGAGCAAACUGAAAUCAUCGCUCAAGGCAUGUAGGAGAUCAGACUGCGGCAAUCACCCCAUCAGGCUCCAGGGAUGAGCAGCUGCCUGCAUCCCUCUGCCAUGGCCAGCCCCUAGGCAUGGCCAGGGGUGGAGCACGAGCAUCAGCCAAGCAUGGCCUUUCAGAGGCAAAAAAAAACACUCCCUCUCUGCAGCUUAAUGCCAGCAAAUAUUAAAGAGGUGACAGAGGUGCUGCUUUGCUGCAGAUGGAAACCCCUAAUAGCCAGGCACAUACUGAGGUUUGUGCAGUGCAUCAGCAAAAUGAGAAAAUCUUAGUCCAUAUUGUCUAACUCCCUGCCCUUCCUGCAGUAAAUUUAAAAUAAUUCAUAUUCCAC